GAUGCGGUCUUCAUUGCAGAGCACCUCAGAGCUACAGUCAGCUGUACGUGAAGAUCUGAAGCUGCUACCGAUUGAAAAGCUCAGAGACUCUCAAGUCCCUCUUUUGCAGAGUGGGUGCUAAUACAUGGUCCCUACUUUACACUCCUAUAACGCAAAAGCUACAGGCUCAAAGAGGGGUAUAAACUGGUGAAGUGCAAUGAUUUCCCUCCUCGGAAACGGUAGUGUGGUUGCUCUAGGAUCUGACUGGUCUGUAAGCCUGUCAAAUACUUUUUCUUCGGCG
rnacentral:lncRNA from 1 species